AUGUUGGUGGACCAAUUUGGUAGAUUGAAGGCUCUGAACCCUGUAUUUUUCUUUGAAUAUGAAGUUGACGAGGUCGGUACAUUGAUUCGUUUAUUCUGGACGGAUGCAUCAAGUAGGAAAAACUACUGGCAUUUCAGCGAUGUCGUAUCUUUUGAUUCGACAUACAACACUAACCAAUAUGAAUACACCUUUGUGCCCUUCACUGGACUAAACCAUCACAUGCAAAGUGUCUUUUUUGGGGCGGGGUUUCUACUUCAUGAGACAGAAGAAUCCUAUAUUUGGUUGUUCAGAUCAUUUCUUAGAGCAAUGGGUGGGAUUGCGCCUAGAGUGAUCAUAACUGAUGAAUGUGUUAGGAUGAAAAAUGCAAUCGGAAAAACUCUACCGAACACGACACAUAGAUUGUGCAUGUGGCACAUUAUUGGAAAAGGUUCCAGGGAAGGUAUAUACGCCCGGAAUUGA
rnacentral:rRNA from 1 species